rfam:Erinaceus europaeus unplaced genomic scaffold scaffold00267, whole genome shotgun sequence
UUGCUCUCUUCAGCAGCACAUUUACUAAAAUUGGAACGAUACAGAGAAGAUUGGCAUGGCACCUGCUCAAAGAUGACAGACAAAUUUGUGAAGCAUUCCAUAUUUUU